GACAGAGGGUGCAAACGUUGUUCGGAAUCACUGGGCGUAAAGCGCGUGUAGGCGGCUAUGUAAGUCGGACGUGAAAUCCCACGGCUCAACCGUGGAAGUGCGCUCGAAACUGUGUAGCUUGAGUCCUGGAGAGGAAGACGGAAUACUUGGUGUAGAGGUGAAAUUCGUAGAUAUCAGGUAGAACACCAGUGGCGAAGGCGGUCUUCUGGACAGUGACUGACGCUGAGACGCGAAAGCGUGGGGAGCAAACAGG
rnacentral:rRNA from 1 species